GUCAUAAUUCACAACACACCUUCAAUCCCCUCUCUCUCUUCCUCUCCGGUUCUCCCUCUCCCUCUUGCCACCCGUCCGCCGCGCCGCGGCCACUCAAUCUCCGGCAAUCGCAUCGGCAGCAGCGCCGUACAGCCACCACCACCGCGACGCAUAGCGGCAGCAGAUCUCUGGUCGCGCUGGAAGCCUUUGCUGCAGAUCUCGGGCUGGACGGUGUCGAACUCGACUGCGAAGAUGGCGGUGGCUAACGGACGACGCGAUGACGACGAAGAUGGCGCCGCUCUCUUCGAGGAAGAAGGCGUGGACUUCGCCGAGGACAUCGACCACUUCGAUACACCUAUUCAUCUCCGUCCCCUCGUUUCCGCUUCCGAGUCUGGCGACCUCAACGCCCUCCGCCAAGCCUUAGGUUUUUAAUACGUUUUUAAUUUUUUUGUGAUUUUCUUAAGAAGAUGCACGAUUCUAGAUGAAAUUUGUUGUUUUGCAUUGUAUAUUAGAAGAAAUUUGAUGUUUUGGUCCUGCUUUUUGGUUUUUGACUAAUUAAACCUACGCCUAAAGCUUCUUCUACAAAUUAGCUCGUGUCUGAACCUCUGGGAAACCUCCUGGCGGUGGUGGUGGUGGUGACGGCUUUGGUGAAGCUGAAGAUGGCGGAUUUGCAGGAAUGUGGGACGAGUUCAGCCAAGUGAUUCUAGCAACUAUGGGCUUUAUAUUCCUGAUGUAACUGCUACUUUAGGUCUCUGCCUGCAGCAGGACUAAAGAAGAUCUAGAUGCAAUGAAAGAUGCAUUGCACUUAAUUCUUCAGGGAAUUAGUUGUAGAUUGAAGAAUCAUGUAUAUUUGAUUCAAAAAAUGGCAAGCAGUAUUGCUUUAGUAUUUUCAAAGAUUAUAGACCCAAAUAAUCCUUUGUAUCUUGACGAUAGUUGCCAGGAAGAAACCAUUGACUGGGAUUUUGGGUUAGCAACCCCCAGUCCCAGAGAGGUAUCUGCCACUACAAAAGUGCUUGGGGGAGAAAAAGCUCAAGAAAGAGAAAGCUCUUCUACCCUAAUACGAAUGGUCACUCUUGAAUUAGAUUUUACUGUAAUUGACUGUGAGACUUGAUACUUCACUGAGGGGAGCAGAUAUUCAUCGCCUCACUGAUCCAUUAGCAGAAGCAGUGAUGACGAGGACAAUGAUGAGGCUGACUCUACCUUUGGCCAACUCUUGAAGCACAUGAGGAUUAGUGGGUGAAACUUCAACGAGGAAGGCUUCCAAUUGGAACUUGUUUUCCCAGCUGAUGAUGCGGCUGCCAAACAAGUUGUAAUUUAAGAGGAGGAUGAGAGUUGUGAUGAUGCAGGAGGUGGUGGUGCAGCGGCAGUCUUGCGGACAAUGUUGGUUUUGAAGGAUAGUUUGGAUGAUCAGAGGCAGAGGGUGGGGCAGAUUAUUGCAUUCCUUGGAGGUGGGAAGCGGUGGAAGCGGUGGAAGACGCCCUUUUCAGAGACCUCGCUGAUUUCGCUAAGGCCAAGUCGUCGUCGCCCAAACCAAAUCGGUCGUAUUAGGGGAAAUACUAUGCACAGAUUGCUUGCUGUCUGCAAAUCAUUGUGACUUGCUAUAAUAUGUUUGGACCUGUCUAUUAUGUCGACAUGAACCUCAACUUCCGAGAUAUGAUCAGAUUGUGUUUUUUUUUUUUUUUGCUUUUUUACCUUUGUUAAUAUAUUACUUCAAUUCGGUUUCUAUUGUUUUGACAUUUAAACAUUUCUUAUGGUGGCUUAGGCCUUGCAUUUGUAUCGGAGUUGCAGAGUGCUGCUGUUAAUGAUUUCUUGUUAUAAUAGCUUCUCUUUUUUCUC